CUCCGGCCACUGCGCAUGCUCCCCAGCUGGGCCGGCUGCGGACGCGGGAAGGGAGGUGGUGGCGACUGACGGAACUGGGUGAAGGAUUCUUUCUUUGAUUUUAUAAGCUGACAUGAUUGCUUGUUCUGUUGUGAAUGCACGCUGCUCUGGGCCUCAGUUAACCCAUCACACCUGAGCUCCACGCUGUCCACGGGUGCUUUUUCUGCAGUGUUAACGUCAUCUUCAUGGUCGGUAUCAUCACGAUCACCUUGAUUCAGAACCAUUCUGGCUAUUUCCCCAACAGUCAAUGAAAUGAACAACCGGAGCCUCAUUAUCAAUGUUAAAAAUGACAUUAAUGUGUACUUCUUCCCGCUGACUGAUGAACUCUGAAGGUAUAUUUUUUGGAGGUCAGACAUCCUUUUCUUCUCACUUGACAAGCUGAAUUCUUCUAAACCACCACCUGGUUCAUCAUCAUCACUGAACACAGUCGUAGGCCAGAGGUCACGCCAGGCACGCACAUCUGUGUCUUUAGUCACUGUGUUGCAAGCGUUGGCAACAGCAUGUAUGGCAUCCUUCAUGCUCAGCUCCUGAAAAUCUUCUACACCUACACCUCCGUUCACUGCUGCGAGCGUGCAAUUCAAGACAGUGUUUUUAUAUUUACUUUUCAUUGAUCUAAAGAUACCCUGGUUACAGGCUCAACUAAUGAAGUCACGUUUGGGGGAAAGUACACAGCAUCAAUAUUAUCUUUGAUGAGAAUUUCAGCUGGAGGAUGAGCAGAACAGUAGUCAAGGCAUAAGAAAAUCUUGCUGUCAUCAUCCGGUCCAACUUUUCUGCAGCGAGCACAAGAGGCCUGUACGAAGUGUUUGUAAAACCGAUCAGAAAAGAUGUCCCUGGUGAUCUAUGCCUUUUUGUUAGCAUAAUAAUGGACUGCUUCUGCAGAUGGCCUCCCCUCUCUGCGACUGGUUCCUUAUCGAGGCAAUGGAGAUGUGGACUGCGGUGACUGAUCAAGCCUCACAUAUCUACUGAAUCAGGAAGCCCGAAGGCCUGAGGCCUCCCGAGUGGCCCCAUGGGAGCGUCGUGCAUUUUUCUGGUCAGUCAGUCAUUAGGGGAAACGAUGAAUGAGCCAGGCCAGCAUGAGAAGGCCUGCAUGCUAUCGGAUCUUUUUCCUGAAAACAUCGACAUGGGACAUGUUCAAACCAAAUUUUCUUUAUAAGUUAUA
ensembl:lncRNA MCPH1-AS1 MCPH1 antisense RNA 1